UAUAGUAAAGUUACUCCAAUCACAGACAUCAAUGGUUACCAAUUAUAUAUUGCUGUUGAUUUUAGUAACGUUGUUAAAAGAAACAAACGCUCAAUUACCAUGCCCUUUACCAGCAGAAGUUAUCUUUUCUGGAGCGGAAAACGCUGCCGUUCCUCCAACUUUUUUUCUUUUUUAUAGCCGAGAGAAUCCAGAAUACCCUCAGAAUUUAACAUUUACUAACUGUACAGGAAAUACCAACUACAAUCCGAAUAAGAAAACUGUCAUUGUGGUACAUGGCUAUCAAGGAAAUCCCAAUGGCGAAGAACUUGUCUUUUUAAAAUCGGCUUAUUUACAUUAAGAAGAUUGUAAUGUGAUCUUUGUGGAUUGGAGUAUAGCGGCUGCAGUCUUUUUUUUCCCAGACGCAAUAAGAAAUACUCUAAUAACAGGAAAAUAUGUUGCAGAACAACUGGAAAUUUGGAAGGAAAAUUGUAAGGAAAUCAACUUUGAUAAAUUUCACGUUAUUGGAUUUAGUCUUGGAGGUCAGACAGGAGGAUUUAUUGGAAAAUACAUGAAAACGGGAAAGAUUGGAAGAAUUACUGCAUUAGAUUUUGCAGGUAUUUGUUUCGUUAAAUUUCCACCAAAAUAUAAGCUUCACUAUACAGAUGCAAAGUUCGUCGACGUUAUUACAGGAUCGG